rnacentral:rRNA from 1 species
CCUACGGGUGGCAGCAGUGAGGAAUAUUGGUCAAUGGACGGAAGUCUGAACCAGCCAUGCCGCGUGCAGGAAGACGGCUCUAUGAGUUGUAAACUGCUUUUGUACAAGGGUAAACCUGAAUACGUGUAUUCAGCUGAAAGUACUUUACGAAUAAGGAUCGGCUAACUCCGUGCCAGCAGCCGCGGUAAUACGGAGGAUCCAAGCGUUAUCCGGAUUUAUUGGGUUUAAAGGGUGCGUAGGCGGAUUGGUAAGUUAGGGGUGAAAUGCCCGGGCUUAACCCGGGACCUGCCUCUAAUACUGUUGGUCUGGAGAGUAGGUGCGGUAGGCGGAAUGUAUGGUGUAGCGGUGAAAUGCUUAGAGAUCGUGCAGAACACCGAUUGCGAAGGCAGCUUACCAGUCUAUAUCUGACGUUGAGGCACGAAAGCGUGGGGAGCGAACAGGAUUAGAUACCCCUGUAGUC